GUGCUUCAUUAUGCUUCAGCAGCACGUACACUAAAAUUGGAAUGAUACAGCGAUUAGCAUGGCCUUGCACAACGAUGAUGCACAAAUUUGUGAAGUGUUCCAUAUAAAA
rfam:Gorilla gorilla gorilla genomic chromosome, chr2A, whole genome shotgun sequence